UACGUAGGGGGCGAGCGUUGUCCGGAGUUACUGGGCGUAAAGCGCACGCAGGCGGUUUCGUACGUCUGGAGUGACAGUUCCCGGCUCAACUGGGAAGGGUCUUUGGAAACGGCGAGACUUGAGGGCUUCAGAGGGACACGGAAUUCCGGGUGGAGUGGUGAAAUGCGUAGAGAUCCGGAGGAACACCAAUGGCGAAGGCAGUGUCCUGGGAAGCAUCUGACGCUCAGGUGCGAAAGCUAGGGGAGCGAACAGG
rnacentral:rRNA from 1 species